rnacentral:rRNA from 1 species
UGGGGAAUAUUGCACAAUGGGGGAAACCCUGAUGCAGCGACGCCGCGUGAGCGAAGAAGUAUUUCGGUAUGUAAAGCUCUGUCAGCAGGGAAGAAGAAGACGGUACCUGACCAAGAAGCCCCGGCUAACUACGUGCCAGCAGCCGCGGUAAUACGUAGGGGGCAAGCGUUAUCCGGAUUUACUGGGUGUAAAGGGAGCGCAGGCGGUUCUGCAAGUCUGGUGUGAAAGCCCGGGGCCCAACCCCGGGACUGCAUUGGAAACUGCGGGACUUGAGUGUCGGAGGGGCAAGUGGAAUUCCUAGUGUAGCGGUGAAAUGCGUAGAUAUUAGGAGGAACACCAGUGGCGAAGGCGGCUUGCUGGACGACAACUGACGCUGAGGCUCGAAAGCGUGGGGAGCAAACAGGAUUAGAUACC